AGUUAUUCAUAUAGUACGAUCAAGUGUAGUAUCUAUUCUUAUCGGUAUAUAUCCUAUACCAACUAUUUUUUAGGGGAAAGUCCGCACGGUAGCUUGCUAUUGGAAUUCAGGACCUUCAAGCGUCCUUUGGCGUUGCACUACUGACUUGGCUUAGCGCACCCCAC
rnacentral:snRNA from 1 species